GAUAUUGCACAAUGGAGGAAACUCUGAUGCAGCGAUGCCGCGUGGAGGAAGAAGGUCUUCGGAUUGUAAACUCCUGUUAUCGGGGACGAAGAUGACGGUACCCGACGAGGAAGCUCCGGCUAACUACGUGCCAGCAGCCGCGGUAAUACGUAGGGAGCGAGCGUUGUCCGGAAUUACUGGGUGUAAAGGGAGUGUAGGCGGGGUAGCAAGUCAGGUGUGAAAACUAUGGGCUCAACCCAUAGACUGCACUUGAAACUGUUAUUCUUGAGUGAAGUAGAGGUAAGCGGAAUUCCUAGUGUAGCGGUGAAAUGCGUAGAUAUUAGGAAGAACACCAGUGGCGAAGGCGGCUCACUGGCUCGGUACUGACGCUGAGGUGCGAGAGCGUGGGGAGCAAAC
rnacentral:rRNA from 1 species